ensembl:lncRNA
CAGAAACACAACUUCAACAAGGCUUACUCUGAGAACCGAGGGUAUGAAAGUGUACUGUGGAGUGAACAAGCUCAUAUCAUCAAACACAGCCAGCCAGCAGAGAAAUGUAAGCAGCGCAGUGUUGUGCUGAUCUAAAGUGGCCUGGAAUACAAUAAGAGGCUUUUUGUAGCAUCCUAAACAGAAGGAUAUUGAAGGGAGCUGAUUCUGCUUUGAUCCUUAUGCUUGUUGUCAAAGCGCUUGGGAUUGAAGAGACUGUUGGCUACAAUUGACUGUGACAAUUAGGAGAUGAUCAGAGCCCUAGAGUGGAGCACUUAAAGGAACCAAGGCGGUGGUAAAUCUGUAUCAAAAAGAAAAAAAACCAGACAUAGCAGGAGGUCCUCGUCUCCCAGGUUUGCAUUUAAAAGACUCUCAGAGCACUAAUUGUAUAAAAUUCUGGUAGCUGCACAUUCUCCCGCUGCAAAGGUAAUGGAUGGGCAGACGAAUGAAUGAAUGAUAUAAGGUUUCCCUAUACUUUUGAAUUAAGUCAUUAUUAUUACUAUUAUUUUGAAAGGAGAAGGUUGCACUCAAUCAGUACGUAUUUUGAAAAGUCUUCACGUUUAGGGGGGCAGAAGACUUUUGGGAUGUAAACUUCAUUAGAGUUUAACAGAGAUAUGCUUUUGUCUAUGAAUUAUCAAAU